UACGUAGGGGGCAAGCGUUGUCCGGAUUUAUUGGGCGUAAAGAGCGUGUAGGCGGCCUGAAAGGUCAGCUGUGAAAACUCGAGGCUCAACCUCGAGACGUCGGUUGAAACCAUCUGGCUAGAGUCCGGAAGAGGAGUGUGGAAUUCCCGGUGUAGCGGUGAAAUGCGCAGAUAUCGGGAAGAACACCCGUGGCGAAGGCGGCUCUCUGGGACGGUACCGACGCUGAGACGCGAAAGCGUGGGGAGCGAACAGG
rnacentral:rRNA from 1 species